CCUACGGGGGGCAGCAGUGAGGAAUAUUGGUCAAUGGGCUUACGCCUGAACCAGCCAAGUCGCGUGAGGGAAGACUGCCCUAUGGGUUGUAAACCUCUUUUGUCAGGGAGCAACGCCGGCUACGUGUAGCCGGACUGAGAGUACCUGAAGAAAAAGCAUCGGCUAACUCCGUGCCAGCAGCCGCGGUAAUACGGAGGAUGCGAGCGUUAUCCGGAUUUAUUGGGUUUAAAGGGUGCGUAGGCGGAAUGCCAAGUCAGCGGUAAAAUCGCGGGGCUCAACCUCGCUCCGCCGUUGAAACUGGCGGUCUUGAGUGGGCGAGAAGUAUGCGGAAUGCGUGGUGGAGCCGUGAAAGGCAUAGAUAUCACGCAGAACUCCGAUUGCGAAGGCAGCAUACCGGCGCCCAACUGACGCUGAAGCACGAAAGCGUGGGUAUCGAACAGGAUUAGAUACCCUAGUAGUC
rnacentral:rRNA from 1 species